GCGGCCUUGCAGAGAAAGGCCUUCCCAGCCCUGGGAGAGGCCAGGCCUUCCUCUAAAGUCUCUCCUAUCUUCAGCUGUUUUCCACCUGAAAGGAUGAUUCAUCAACCCUGUGUUUCCUAGAGUGGAUUACUAUAAUGCACUCUAGCAGGGCUGCCUUUGAAGACGGCUCCGAAGCUGCAGUUAGUGCAAAGAUGUAUCCAGUACAAAAUACAAAGCACUGAGUCACAGAACCACCAGCUAGUUCUAGGGUUGGGUGCAUCCCCACCAUCCUCAGGAACUGACUUUACGGAGAGGGAGAGAGAAACCUAGAAGAACGUCUAUUGAGAUAUAGAAUGUUAAAGAGACUAACCUGAUCACAUUCUUAUAAACUCG